CAAGAGACCAAAGCAGAGACAAUAAUACUGUUAUUGUACUCAAGUAUUUUCUAAUUAAUUCUAAGUAAUUUCACUUUUUGUUUUUAAUCCAGCUCAGUUUUAGUUAGUGCAGUGACAGUUUGCUUGUUUCAGUUUCAUAUUUCAGUUUUGAAAAUGUUUAGUAGUUUACAGGGUUCAUAACUACGCUGAUAAUGAGCCUCAUCCUCCUUUUGUUCGGACUUUUCCAUGGUCAUCCACCCGCGUGUACACAUUACAUCAGAAGAGACACCACAACACAGAGUUAACACUGCAUUACAAUAAGAAAAAAAGACCUGGUGCUGAAAAAACCCCGGAGGGAAUAAGAUUAGUGCUGUUAAAGUCAAUGAGCUGUCAAAAUAGGCUAGAUGUUCUGCAGACCCUGUUCACACAACAUAGCUGACUGAAGAAAAAUGUAAAAUAUUAUUUACCUUACCAUAAACUGACUUUAAUAUUGUUUAAUUUGAUUUUAAAUAAUAUGCUCAACUGUGUGCCAAAACUGGGGAUCAAGCUGUAACGUAACUACAAUUCAACUCAUGAGUCUUACUCUAAUCGGUGUAAUGUUUUCUAACUUGCAGACCCAAAAAAGGCUAUGUUAGCUUAACUUUAACAGCAAUGAGUAAAGGAAUUGGGGGUCGGACCCUUCGUGUUUUCAGCCUAAGAGAGAUAUCAAGGCACAGAUAACUUAACCACCUCAACUGCUAUGCCAAAAUAAAUCCUUCAGGGUUUUAUUUAUGUUGUUUUUAGCCUGUUUGAGCUUCAGUCAAUAUUAGCUAAUAUGCCUGUUAGCUAAUGCACUAUAAGCUAACAGGAAGUUCGUAGGAUUCAGUGCAGGUCAUCUACCCCCGAGCAGGACAACCAGAAUGUCCCCAGGGUGUAAUUACAGACAACCCCAGUAAGGAAUGUAGUGAAAGUUCCCAAGAGGUUAAAAACACCACUGAAAAUAUGCCAUCAGACCUGAGUUGGGACACUUGGAUUAUGGAGCUUCUGGACCAAGAGAGUGGAUGGGAGCAUGUGUUUAACAAUAGCGUAGUGAAACAUUUGGGCGGUGGAUAAAUAAUGGAAAAUAAAAUUCAGACCAGAGACGGCUUCAGGUUUCCAUACAUCGGAAACAGCUGCUGCAUCUGUAAUUCUGUCCAUCCUGAGGAGAGUCCACACUCUACAUCAGAUCCUUGGCUCACCUAUAAUGAUGCACAGGUGCUGCACACAACUGGAUCUGCAGCUUGUGAGGAACAGCAGCACUCAGCCUACAUCCUGUUUUACAAGAUUAACACACCCUUCAGUUUCAUCAUGUCAUCCCUAACAAUAGCUGUAGAGUUGGAUGGAGGAUGAAGACAGCAGAGAGCAAAAGAAACAGGUAAGAGCAGACAGGUAGUCAGAGUUAACAAAAACUUUUAAAGCCAGUGUAGCUUCGGUUUUGAACACAUUUAUUGAUGACAAUUUUACAUAAAUAAGCAGUGUGUUAUACUGUUAUCAGAUGUGGAGUCUCACUAACCACUUUAAUAGUGACUUGUGUCCCAAAUACUGUUUAUUUGUCUUAGUUACAGAUAGUGAAAUAAAA